CAACAACACAACAUACUAAGGUUACAGACAACAACACAACAUCCUAAGGUUACAGACAACAACACAACAUCCUAAGGUUACAGACAACAACACAACAUACUAAGGUUACAGACAACACAACAUCCUAAGGUUACCCUGACAACAACACAAC